rnacentral:lncRNA from 1 species
UUUUUUUUUUUUUUUUUUUUUAAAGAAAGUAGUAGGGAAAUAUAUGAUACUUGUAGGAUGAUUCCAUUCAAAAUGGCCACAUUUAUCUUUUAAUUAUAAUGUCUGAUGAAUAUUGGGUGGCUGAGAAAUUCCAGCAAGUGAAACUGUGCUUCCUAGUUUGCCAAAGGACUAUGAAGUUCCUGGGUAUUCGCUUUGCUGGAUAUCUGGUUCAGCUGGUCUAUAAACACGUGCUUAUGAAAUAUUUUUUUGCGCACUCCAGGUGAAACCUCAAUUUGGGCUAUGUCAUGAUGAUCACAGCCUGGCUCUGGUGUGCUUGGAUGCGAGCAGAUGGAUGGCUUUGGGAAUGUCUGGGAGCAGGGGCAGACCCUGCUUCUGCAGGAAGAGGGUGGCUGCUUCCAGCAGGAAAGUUCCUGCACCAGAGAUGGUGGUGACCAGCUAUUUGACUUUCACCAAGAUUCCCCACUUGGGUUGAGCUUUGCAGUUAUUUUUAUUUUAUUUUAUUUUUUGUCUUUUUACCUUUUCUAGAGCCGCUCCCGUGGCAUUUGGAGUUUCCCAGGCUAGGGAUCUAAUCGGAGCUGUAACUGCCGGCCUACGCUAGAGCCAUAGCAACGCAGGAUCUGAGCUGCAUCUGCGACCUGCACCAUAGCUCAUGGCAAUGCCGGAUCCUUAACCCACUGAGCAAGGGCAGGGACCGAACCCGCAACCUGAUGGUUCCUAGUUGGAUUUGUUAACCACUGAGCCACGACGGGAACUCUGAGCUUGGAGGUUUUUGAAGCAGUGUUGCACCUGCCAUCUACUUAGCCCGAAACAGUCCUGCAGGUUAGGCAAAGCAGACAUUGGUGUUGCUUCCAUUGUUCAGAUGGUUCCCAUCUGAUGUUUAGAGGGAAGGACCCAAGGCCAUGGCCCCAGUGAGUCUCAGAAUCUGAGCCCCUCGCCUUGUCCAGAUGUUCACAGCCUGCGUUGUCUGUGAACACCUGGUUGUCCAUGCCUGGGGGACAUGACCAGAGAUCCUUUCCCUACUCCAUGGAGCUUUCUUUCCCAGUUAACUAGGUCCAAUCCACAGAGAAGGAGAAAAAGGACUGUUUAGGUCCAGUCGAAACACAAACAACUUUGCCCUCAGAUGGAACAGGAACAGGAGAAAAAGCACAUUGUGAACCUCAGGCGGUUUGGAGGCAAGGCUUUUGGUAUUGAAGCUGUAGUUGGAGAAGCCCCAAAGCCCUGCUUCCUGGGCUGGGGACAGGGCUGAGCCUUCCCUGUCAGUCAGGAAAACACAUGCCUUGGGGCUGCUGGGCCUGAAUAAGGCUUUCAUCCUAGCCUAAGUGUCAGAGAGCUACCUGCCUACCCAGCCAGUGUGCCCUGGAGGGGGAAGGAAGACGUUUGUCCACUGGUUGUCAGAUUCACUUCCCAAUGCUGGGACGGGGCAUCCUUGGGGUGGUCCCAGAGCCAAGAUCUGGUCCAGGCUUAUUCCUAUAACUAGCUCAGCAUUAGACUUGAAGCCAGUUGAGGGACAAGAGGCGUCUCUUUCUUAGCUGUAAAUGAAAGAGUUCUCAGUCUCAUUCAGAAUGUAAGAGACUUAAAUCAAAACAACAAGGAGAUACCAUGUGUCACUUGUCUGACUGGGAAAUAUUUAAAGAAUUUUAGAAUAUCCAGUUCUGGGCUGGAGUCAGAAAAUAGACAUCCUCUUCUUGUUUUUCUGGUGGGACACAUUGGUGGCGUGUCUUGGGAGGGUUUUGGCCAUACCUGUCAAGGGUGUUGACCCAGCCAAUGCGUGCUCAGGAAUGUAUCCUGUGAAUCUACUCACCAAAGUGUGAAUAAAAAACAAACCUGGUGACUGAGCAUAGUGAAGUUGUUCCUAAUAGCAAUAGCAAAAAAUUGGAUACAGCCUCAAUAACCAUCACCUGGGGACCCGGUAAGUGUUUCUCCUUGGCACAUGGGGCAGCAUUCAAAUAGGGUGACAUGGGGAGGAUGCAAAGACCCAAUGGUAAUAAGUAACAAGAGUAACACAUAUUUUUUGAGUGCCGUCUAUAUUCUAAGACGUUUACAUUGAUUCACCUAUUCCCAUUUUACAAAUGAAAAAGCCAAGGCACGGUGAGGCUAAAUAAUCUUCUCAAAGUCAUAAUAUAAUUAGAAAGUAGCGUGGUGGAGGGGGUACAAAACAGGGAUUCUGGUUUGAGAAGUUGGUUCAAUGCCUUCUGUCUGAGUCUGUUCAGGCUGCUAUAGCCUAAAAUACCCCCGACUGCAGGUGGCUUGUAAAACAACAGAAAUGUAUCUCUCACAGUUCUGGAGACUGGAAGUCCAAGAUCAAGGUAUCAGCAUGGUCCAGUGAGGACCCUCUUCUUAUAUGCUCACCUGCUGGAAGGGGCAAGGGAGCUCCAUGGGGGUGCCUUUCAUAAGGGCACUAAUCCCAUUCAUGAGGGCCCCAUCCUCCUUACCUCCCAAAGCUGCUCCCCCAAGAACAUCACAUUGGAUGUUAGGAUUUGGGGCAGGAGAUACAAUCAUUCAGACCAUAGCACCUUUUUAAGUGGAAGAAAAAAAGGAAAAAAAGCAAAAGCAAGUUGCAGGAAUGUGGGCAUCUGGGGUUCUAUUUAUGUUUAAAAAAUCAAAAAAAUCAAGUUAGGACUUCCCAUUAUGGCUCAGUGGUAACAAACCCGACUAGUAUCCAUGAGGAUGUGGGUUCAGUCCCUGGCCUUGCUUAGUGGGUUAAGGAUCCAGCCUUGUGGUGAGCUGCAGGGUAGUUUGCAGACGUGGCUCAGAUCUGGCAUUGCUGUGGCUGUGGUGUAGGCCGGCAGCUACAGCUCCGAAUUGACCCCUAGCCUGGGAACUUCCAUAUGCCGCAGGUGUGGCCCUAAAAAGACCAAAAAGAAAAAAAUCUAGUCAUAUAUGUGUGUAUGUAUGUGCAUGCAUAUAUGUACAUAUUUUCUCAUGAUUAUUUUUGGCGGGAUACACAGGGUCGAGGUAGGGAAGACUGAGCGUUCAAGGUGGAGGGAGGGCAACUUUUUAUAUAUUCCUGUGCUGUUUCAUCUUAAAAAAAAAAAAGGGUAUGUCUAUCACUUUUAUUUUUUAAGACUUACCUGGGGUUAAUUUGUUCAGGUGGUGGAGCUAGGGGCCAUUUACAUUUUCCUUAAAUUUUCUAUAUUUAGAAAUUAUCUAGUAAAUAAUUGUAUUUUUUUAAUGGAAAGGUUGGACAUAACCUUCUCCAGAUAAGAACUCCUCCCAGAUAAGAAAUUUUCAUUUCUUUUUUUCUUUUCUUUUUUGCCUUCUAGGCCGGCUCCCACGGCAUAUGGAAGUUCCCAGGCUAGGGGCCAGCCUACGCCACAGCCACAGCAACGUUGGAUCCGAGCUGUGUCUGUGACCUACACCACAGCUCACAGCAAUGCCGGAGCCUUAACCCACUGAGCAAGGCCAGGUAUCGAACCCGCAACCUCAUGGUUCCUAGUCGGAUUCAUUUCUGCUGUGCCACAACAGGAACUCCCAAGAAAUUUUCUGAUUAUGUUUGUUGAGCAUGAGCUGUUACUUGAGUAACAUGUAAUGAAACCAUGUCUUCUGCCCACAAGGCACUGAGAGUUGGCACAGGUGCUGGUGAACAGUGAUAAACAUACUUGGGGAACAGGUACAGCGAGGGCAUCAUGCCGUUCUCUGCUAGAGGCUGGCUCAUCUAGCUGGGUCAGCACUCUUUUUCUUCCCCAGCAGAGAGUUGAGUCUGAGGUUGGGAGUGGUGGGUGACUGCAGGUGCCUGGGUUUGGGAGCCCCCGGCAGGUUCAGCCCAGAUGGAUCCUUCUGAGUUCGGGGUUGUGAGCACAGUGCACUGCAGUGAGUGCUAACUCUCAUUUGGUGCCAAGCCUGUGAUCAUCUCUUCAUGGGUAAGCAUUGCUUUUCUCCUCAUUCUUUAGCUGAAGAUCCAGAUGUGCCCCCUUUUGCUCCUGCCUUAGUUUUUCAGUGAUGAGAAGAGUGUACCCUCCACCAUGUAGCAGCCCCAGGGGCCUCAAUGUGGUGAUGGAACAGUCAUUGAACCGAGGAAACUCAAAGAGAUAGUCAAGAUUUUUGGUCAGCUGCCCAAGUCCCCUGUGAUUCUCUCUUUCUUUAUGGCCACACAUGCAGCCGUAUGAAUAUUCCCAGGCUAGGGUUUGAAUUGGAGCUGCAGCUGCUGGCUUAUACCAAACAGCCACAGCAACGCAGAAUCUGAGCCACAUUUGCACCCUACACCACAACUCACAGCAAUGCCAGAUUCUUAACCCACUGAGCGAGGCCGGGGAUUGAACCUGCAACCUCAUGGAUACUAGCUGGGGUUCUUACCACUGAGCCACAAUAGGAACUGCCCCUUGUGACUUUCUAUCUCACGUUGAAGGAUUUGCUUUCACUGGGGGGACCUUGCUCCUUGCAGUCCCUCGUGGCCUUCUGCUUGUACCUGCAUCCCGGCAUUGACCACACUGGAAAGUGACUCCUGUCACAGGCCACAUCCUCCAACCAGGUGUAGGUUCCUGAUAGGCUGGGCCUUGAUCCAAGUGCCUGCAAUUGGCCUUUCGUUACGACUCCAGCAGUGUUUCCAGUGUGGCUGGUGCUCGUGGGCAAAGCAGUGGUCUGGGCAGUCAGGUGGCACCAGAAAGCAGGUUGUGCAAAGAACCUACCCCCUACGCUCACUGUCAAUUGGAAGAGGGAUGAGAAAGAGGCGAGGACGUGGUGUUCCUUUGAGUGUGGCAAAGUCAUCUUUGGUAGCAGAAGGGCUGCCCCUGGGGGCUCUGAAUGUGUUGGUUAUUCCCAUGUCAGUUGGCUUUAGGCAGAGUGACUGGUAUGCCUCAGUGACCUGAGCUGUCAUUGGUGGGGCGGGGGGGUAGACUCAGAAGGAAGAGAUGAAAAGGAGGAAAAAUAAAUGGAGGUGAUGGACCCGAGGCACUGGGAAGCCACCGGAGGCUGGAGCACCGGGGAGGCUCCGGGGUGGAGGUUGGGGAGCAGUAAGCUCUGUGUGCACUUACACACUUCUCCCUGCCCGGGUGCCCAGGGGUGUUCACACUGUGACUUAUUUCAGGGCAGCCAGUAGAAAUAAUUGUGUGUGUAUGUGUCUGAGUGUGUGUGCACAUAAUUUAUGAAAAUGAAGAAAGCUGAAGCCAUGGGGACCCCCCCAAUAGUCAGAAUUAUAAGCCUGUGGAAAGAGCACUGCAUGAAACCCUAGAACCCGGAAUGGCACUUUUUAAUUCUUAUUUAUUUAUUUAUUUGGCCAUACCCAAGGCCUGCAGAAGUUUUUGGGCCAGGGAUCAAACCCAUGCCAUGGCUGUAACCAGAGACACAGCAGUGACAAUGCUAGAUCCUUAACCCACUGAGCCACCAGGGAGCUCCUGGAAUAGCAUUUGAAAUUCAUCUUGUCCCCUGGUGGCACAGUGAGUUAAGGAUCCGGUGUCACUGCUGUGGUGUGGGUUCGAUUUCUGGCCCGGGAACUUGUGCAUGCCACAGGCGCAGCCCAAAAGAGAAAAUAUUAAUCUCAAUCCAGAAUGAUGUUCUUAGCUUCAGCGGUGUGAUUUAUGUGGGAAAUUGCCACAGUGUCCUCCAGUUAGUAGCACCAACAAAUCUUCAUCUACAGGAGAGAAUGCAGUGUGACCUCUUAGUGCCCCACAUAAUACACAGCUCAGGUUGGAGGUGCUAGAUCACUCUCGGCCGUCUGUGCAAUGCUUAAAUCUGCGCGUUUCUGGGAACGCCUUUGGCAUGUGGUCAGUGGUAUAAAACAUCCCUCGUGUGGCCAUCUUGCUUAACUUGCUGAAGCGUUAAGCAGGAGGAUGGAGCCCACUUCCCAAACUCAGUUAAGGAAGUUUUCGCAGCAAGGGUUUCUGGGAAGGGGGAAUCCCUCAGAAGUUUUCCAGAUGUUGCUGGAAAGGUAUCUAAAUGCUAUAGCCAAAAAAA